rnacentral:rRNA from 1 species
AGAGUUUGAUCCUGGCUCAGGAUGAACGCUAGCGGCAGGCUUAACACAUGCAAGUCGAGGGGCAGCGGGGAGGAAGCUUGCUUUCUCCGCCGGCGACCGGCGCACGGGUGAGUAACACGUAUGCAACCUGCCCCUGUCAGGGGGACAACCCGCCGAAAGGCGGGCUAAACCCGCGUACAUGCCACCGGGGCAUCCCGGAGGCAGGAAAGGCUUCGGCCGGACAGGGAUGGGCAUGCGGCGCAUUAGGCAGUAGGCGGGGUAACGGCCCACCUAACCGACGAUGCGUAGGGGUUCUGAGAGGAAGGUCCCCCACACUGGUACUGAGACACGGACCAGACUCCUACGGGAGGCAGCAGUGAGGAAUAUUGGUCAAUGGUCGGGAGACUGAACCAGCCAAGCCGCGUGAGGGAGGAAGGUACAGAGUAUCGUAAACCUCUUUUGUCAGGGAACAAAGGCGGGGGCGUGUCCCCGGAUGAGUGUACCUGAAGAAAAAGCAUCGGCUAACUCCGUGCCAGCAGCCGCGGUAAUACGGAGGAUGCGAGCGUUAUCCGGAUUUAUUGGGUUUAAAGGGUGCGCAGGCGGUCUGUUAAGUCAGCGGUCAAAGCCCGGGGCUCAACCCCGGCCCGCCGUUGAAACUGGCAGUCUCGAGUUGGAGAGAAGUAUGCGGAAUGCGCGGUGUAGCGGUGAAAUGCAUAGAUAUCGCGCAGAACUCCGAUUGCGAAGGCAGCAUGCCGGCUCCACACUGACGCUGAGGCACGAAAGCGUGGGUAUCGAACAGGAUUAGAUACCCUGGUAGUCCACGCAGUAAACGAUGAAUGCUGGCUGUCCGGGGGGAUUGACCCCUGGGUGGCGAAGCGAAAGCGAUAAGCAUUCCACCUGGGGAGUACGCCGGCAACGGUGAAACUCAAAGGAAUUGACGGGGGCCCGCACAAGCGGAGGAACAUGUGGUUUAAUUCGAUGAUACGCGAGGAACCUUACCCGGGCUCAAACGGGGAGUGACUCAGGCAGAGACGCCUGUUUCCCACGGGACACUCCCCGAGGUGCUGCAUGGUUGUCGUCAGCUCGUGCCGUGAGGUGUCGGCUUAAGUGCCAUAACGAGCGCAACCCCCGCGUGCAGUUGCUAACAGAUAACGCUGAGGACUCUGCACGGACUGCCGGCGCAAGCCGCGAGGAAGGCGGGGAUGACGUCAAAUCAGCACGGCCCUUACGUCCGGGGCGACACACGUGUUACAAUGGGUGGUACAGCGGGAAGCCAGGCGGCGACGCCGAGCGGAACCCGAAAUCCACUCUCAGUUCGGAUCGGAGUCUGCAACCCGACUCCGUGAAGCUGGAUUCGCUAGUAAUCGCGCAUCAGCCAUGGCGCGGUGAAUACGUACCCGGGCCUUGCACACACCGCCCGUCA